AAUAGAUACCCUGGUAGUCCACCCCGUAAACGUUGGGAACUAGUUGUGGGGUCCUUUCCACGGAUUCCGUGACGCAGCUAACGCAUUAAGUUCCCCGCCUGGGGAGUACGGCCGCAAGGCUAAAACUCAAAGGAAUUGACGGGGACCCGCACAAGCGGCGGAGCAUGCGGAUUAAUUCGAUGCAACGCGAAGAACCUUACCAAGGCUUGACAUACACCGGAAACGGCCAGAGAUGGUCGCCCCGCAAGGUCGGUGUACAGGUGGUGCAUGGUUGUCGUCAGCUCGUGUCGUGAGAUGUUGGGUUAAGUCCCGCAACGAGCGCAACCCUCGUUCUAUGUUGCCAGCACGUAAUGGUGGGAACUCAUGGGAUACUGCCGGGGUCAACUCGGAGGAAGGUGGGGAUGACGUCAAAUCAUCAUGCCCCUUAUGUCUUGGGCUUCACGCAUGCUACAAUGGCCGGUACAAAGGGCUGCAAUACCGUGAGUGGAGCGAAUCCCAAAAAGCCGGUCCAGUUCGGAUUGAGGUCUGCAACUCGACCUCAUGAA
rnacentral:rRNA from 1 species